GGUGGCUCAGUGGUAGAACGCUUGCCUUGCAUGCAUGAAGCCCUGGGUUCAAUUCCUCAGCACCA
rfam:Dipodomys ordii contig_37157, whole genome shotgun sequence.